UAUGGUUAAUUUUUAUUUGAAUUUUUUAUCCUAUUUUACUGUAGUUCUUUAAUUUAUAUAAAUAGUUCUUGAAUUAAGGUUAAAAUUAAGUCUAUCAUUCCGCUAUGUUAUCAUUUAUACAAUUGAUUUUGUUGUAUUAAUCAUGUAGUAGAUUUUGAAGAUUUUAUUUCAUUAAAUUGUUAAGCUAUGAUUGUUUAACUUAUCUAUGAAAUUUAUCUCCAUAUUAUUGAUUAAUUUACUUAUUUAUUUAAUAGUUUGAAUGUAAGUUUAACCACUAAUUCAUUAUAGAGUUAUUUUACUUUUAGAAUUUGUAGUAUUUAAAAAAAAAACUUUCUAAAUUUUUAACAAUUAUUAAAUGUCUCUUAAAUACAUUAAUGUGUUGUCAUUGUUCCUCUAACACAUUAGUAAUGAUGUCAAAUAAAAAACUUUUCAAUUAUAUUAAUCAAUUAUCUUUUCUUUUUUUAAUAAUUUUUUAUUAUUAUGUGAUAACCUUUCAUGAUUUUUUUUGAGUCAAUAACCUUUCAGGAUAGAAAAGAUAAAAUCACAAAAUAAUAAUACCAUUGGAAAUAGUUAUUAAAUGUCUCUAAAGAAUAAUAAUGGACUGUUCUUGCCCUUUUAUAAUACCUAAGUAAGGAGAUCACACAAGAAACUUCCAAAUAAUAAAAAUUCCUUUUGUUUUUCUAUUCUAAAUUUUGAUUAUUUUUACAAUCUUUCAGGAUAGAAAAGUAAAAAUCAUAAAACAAUAACAAUAUUCUAAAAAAUAUUAAAUGCAUCUAAGUUCUAUGAGAAGAAAAUCUAACUCCGACUGAACCCGAUUAACAUCAUUUUAAAUUGGGUUAAAUACACUUUACCCCCCUGUAAUGUUAGCGAGUUUAGGGUUACCCCCCUGGUAAAGUUAUUUUUUCAAUACCCCUCUUAAGUUAUGUAGAUUCCUUCAUAGAACCCCCUAAUAUCCAGGUGGCAUGGAAUCUUUGUUUUUUAUUUCAGACGUGGCUUUUUAAUUUUUUUAUUUUCACAUGUGAAUCUUCAUUAGGUCUCCAGCAUGGCAUAAACUAGAAAUUAGGGUUCCAAAUCCAUCCCUCUCUCUCUUCGUGAAAUCCAUCCCUACCCAAAUCCAUCCCUCUCUCUCUUCGUGAAAUCCAUCCCUACCCCAAAUCCAUCCCUCUCUUCAUCUUCGUCCGUGUCCCCUUCAUCUGGGUUAUGGGUGGCAGCAAGCAUCUUCCACGAGUGAAGUUGGAAACGGCUUACCAAGAUGUGGAAUGCAAUGAAACCAUGAAGUU
rnacentral:lncRNA from 1 species